rnacentral:lncRNA from 1 species
GGUGGUAGGUAUGGGGUCAAUUCAGUUCCCCAGGACGAUGUCCCUUGUGCUUUUCUGAACAAACAAGCCCUGUAUCUUUGAUUUGGUCUACGUUAACCGUCCUCUGGUAUCUUGGAAUCAACCGGUUAUUGUGACCUUUUUAAUCUCUAGUCGAAAGCUACAUUUGGGGGAUUGCAUGUGAUGGAUGGGUUGGUAGCUGACAGUUUUCCGCUGGACGGGACAAUGGAAUUAUUUUAUCCUAUCACUGGGAUCAGUAAGC